GUUACUGAAGUCUGGACUGGGUUUUGGUGUGAGGGAUGCAGCAACCAAAUUUCCAUCGCUCAGAUGUUGGCUGACCUCAUUUUCUUACUGGCUGUCGACUGGAGGCUUCUGUGUUCUCACCACAUGCACCUCUCCGUUCAGGCCUCAAAACAGCCCUAUGAUGUCAAGAAACAACCUUGGAGAAGUUAAGUACAUUUAUCAUCCAAAGUCACUCCUCCAGGAAAAGAUCUCGACAUGACGACUAGAGGUACUUAAGAAAAGAUGCUUCUGUUUGCUUGCUGUGCCCAGUUGGAACACAAGCAGAGAGUGGCACGCGUCUAGUGCAUGGCCACAAUCACAAUGCCUGGAGUCCUUACUCCUUGUCCAAUUACUUUCUUAACCUCCUGAAAAUAAAAUCGGGAAGGAAGCAAGUCACUUCUAAAAACACACGAGAGGAUUUAUGGUCAAUAUGCGGGAGAUAAAAAUCAAAGGAGCCACUGCUGCACCUCUGCUUCUCCAUCAGUUUAAAAAGAGUGCAUACAAACAACAGAUCCGCCUGUGCAGAGGGGUUAGCCCGUCAAAAGGAGAUCAAAAGCACUUCUCUUUUUCAGAUUCGCUUGACUGCUUGGUUACUCCAAAGAGGAGAUGCCCCAUUCUCUCUGGAUCUGAGCCUCUUGCCUCCCUGUGUCUCAACCCUAUCAGGAAAUAUCCAUGCUUUGUCCUAAGCUGGAGACCAAAGUUAAGGGGGACAGCCUGAGACACUUGCCUUCAGUAACCUCUCCAGCUGCAAAGUGAAUGACGUCUAGUGCGAUGCUUUUUCUAAAGCCUAAUCAGUUCCCACAGUCACAGAAUUAGAGGGAAAGAAAGGAAGAAAAAAGAAGAUAGAUGGGUUUGGCAGAAGGGCCACCGAUACUUCUCUGUGGUACAGCAAGAAAUUAAAUGAGCUAUAUUGGGAUCCAUGAAAUGUUUUCUCUGUUCACUUCUGAAUUCUGUCCUUAGGUCGUUAGGAAAUUGAGGGAGAUGAUAUUCUUGAGUCAUGGACAUCUGUCAUCUAAUGAAGAUCGAUAAAGAACCAUUUAGCCCAGUGCUGGCUGGGCUGCGUCCAGAGGAGUCUCAUUCCCAAGAAAAUACCACUGAAAAAACCAAGCUAGUACGCUGUAAAUUCUCUCCCCUUCAGAGAACUAUGAUCCAGUUCUUCGCCAUGGGAAAACAGCCAGCAUAAGUGCCAUUGAUUAAGAACCCACUUUGUGUUGUGAUGAGCACCGGGUGUCCUAAGAUUCUUCCCUCAUCGUAACUGUGGCCAGGUGCCUGGAUUGAGAGGAAAGCUAAAAAAGGUGCUUACAGAAAGUGCUUACAUGUGGGGGAGCUAAUGCCGGAGCCGGGAGAGGAGGAGGUACCAGCGCAGAGGUUUGGGGGAAAGUGAGCUAACUUGGUGAAGCUGAUGAAUGGUCUCGGAGCACCUACUUGAGCACAUCCUCAGCUGUGUUUUCCCGAUGUCAUGGACUCUCAGAUAAACACAAGUUCGGAAUGUUAUGAACCACUUUUUUCUCAGCAUCAAAUGAAGCGACAGAUAAAAGUAUGAUAAAACUGCAAACCACGGUGCAGGAUAAUCGUUUUUGGAGCAAAGAGAGGCCAUCUGUACAAACUGACUAGGGAAGCCACCGUUUCAGGUUGAUGGCAAAUUAGAAAGCGCUUAGGUUCUUAGAUGUGUUUCCCUAUCACUGAGCAAAUCAUGAUUCUUCCCUUAAUGGUCUAGUCCCUACGUGCUCACAUUUAUUCAGCUUUCAUCAACAUAGAUGACACUGUCAUUCAGCCCUGUGAUCUCUGGCGCAAGACGGGUCCCCAUCCUGUCUUGGAAGCUGAUGUUAUUUUGAAUAGCGCUCACGCCUUGAGCUCUUCCACCAGUUCCUUUGACUUCUUUGGUGUGCAAGGACCUCAGCACGACAAGUGUGUUUUUGGUUUGCAGGGAAGGGCUGGGAGCCCAGCAGGGGGCUGAGAUCAGAGAGGCCAGUAGCAGCUCCCAGUGCAGCUGGCCAUCCGGUGGCCUUGCUGUGAGGGAUUGCCAGACCGGCCUUCUAAAGCAGUCACUGUUUACAAGAAGAAGGUGGAAUCUUCUGGGAUAGCCCGGACAAGUGGCGGCACAAUAUCUUACAAAAGGGUCAGGAGGCCGGGCACUUUACCUUGCUUGGAAUUACUGAAGAGGCUCAGCAGUUUUGCAUAGCAACAGAAGGCUUGUUGACAGGACUUAAAGGCUUCUGGAAAAGGGAACUAUUAUCUGGGACCGCCACACACACACAGUCAUUAACCCCCUGCGGGCAAGUGUGAAAUCAGGCUGUAUUGGGGGCUGGGUUCACUUGUGUGGCCCUACUGAGGCCACAUUCCCCUUCCCCGCUGGCCGGUAAAGAACCAGUCUCUUCCCUCCGUCCAGAUAAUUAGCCAGUCUGGGGGCCCUGUGUUGCCACACCACCACCCAUCCAGUUGAGGUUCUGGCAUUUUCUACCCCACUACCCUGUGGGCCCCUGUGCACAGAGUGGCACAGUUAGCUGCGGUGAGAACCAGGGUCACUCCAUCUUGCUUGGAGGUGAGCUGUUCUGCCCUGACCUUGAGGUUCAGGAGGAAGGGCCCACCCCUCUCAACCUCUCAGAAAGUCCCAUUUCUCCUCUGCCAGAGGGGAGUCUCCCAUUCUGGAGGGUCAGUGUUUACUCUCAGGAAUCGAUAGAAAAAUUGAUGUCAGAGGAACAACCAAAAAGCUCUACUGUGUGUUUGGCAGAUCUCGUGCCUUGGGUUAGCUGGGUAAAUACCAAGUAUUAAAGAAAGGCAACAAAACAAAAUGUAGAUUUAGGUGCUAGUUCUGUGUUUGUUUGUUUGUUUUUUAAAUUUUAGAGCAAGAUCAAACAAUGAGCCCGUUUAUCAUUUCUGAGCCCCACUUCCUCUCCCUGCAAAGUGGAAUGGAUGAUGCCUCCCUGAUGGGAAAAACUGGAAACAAGCAAGGUGUUACAAAUAGGGAAGGAAUUACAUAAAUUGUGGUACAUCCCCGGGAUGGUGUACUGGGCAGACUUUGAAAAUAAAGACGUAUAUGCCGCAUGGAAGGUUGUCUGAAAAUAUUAAGUGGAUAAGAGUAAGAUGCAGAACAAAGGGUAUAUUCGGGUUUUUUCAUGUGUGCGUGUGGGUGAAAAUGUUGA